AUCAUCAAAUUUCGAUUAACUUGGAUGCAGCGGUAGUCUCAAAAAGAUUUAGAUCUUCGUGAAAACCCUAACGGGAAGACCAUUACGCUAGAGGUCGAGUCAUCUGACACCAUCGACUAUGUGAAAGCGAAGAUCCAGGGAUCUCACCGGACCAGCAGCCUUUGAUUUUCGCCGGGAAGCAGCUCGAGGACGGCCGCAGUUCUUAUCAAAUAAAAAAAAAAGUUUCGAUAAACUUGAUUUGUGCAGUUGGUCUCGUCUGCUCUUCAAAGAUGUACAGAUCCUCCGAUUACGUCUAUUUCGAUCGCAGAUACGGGAUCGACGAAGCGGCUGCUACUCCUUUGCAGGCAGUGAAUAGGGGUGACUCUGACAGCGAAGUUAACACAACACGGAAACUCUUUUCUUUUCUCUCUAAUUUUAGUGUUUAGGUAUCCUUUUUUAUUUUAUUUUAACAAUUUUAGUUAUAUUCAACCUUCCUUUUGCUUUUUCUGAUCUCUCAAAUUCCAAACCUUCGGAAUCCAAACACAUUUUUUGAACCUCGCCACUCUCUCGUCUAGAUCGUUCUUCCUUCUUUUAGCCGUAGGAAGAAUGUCGAUGACAGAGGCAGUGACAAAGAUCCAUCCAUAGAUGAUAGAUUAGUUAGUGUUUUGUUUCCCUUUACAAUUGUCUCUAUAGGGUUUUGGAUGAUUUAGAUUUUAGACCUCUGUAAUGGGGAAUUGCUUUGGAUCUUCCCCCAAGAAUGAAGAUGUUAAUGUUGACGACUCCUCAGUGAACUCCAAACCCUUUUCACGUUUAUGCUUUGAUUGAGAGAGGAGUUUGAAGUAAUUUAGGUAACAAGAAGAGAACAAAAGUUUUAAUUUUUUUGGUUUGUUAUGGUGGGGGCGAUGGCAAACAAUGGAAGAAUCCGGUCAGCUUCUCCGGUGACUAAUGGGUCAAAAGAUCUGACUCCGAACAGCGCUCCGGCGAGCACAACGGGAUCUGAAUAUGGUCCUGUUGAGUUCACAAGAGAUUACGUUGAAACUCUUCUUAAUGAACGAAUCAAGUAAAAGAGCAAAUUCAACUACAAGGUGGUUUUUGGGUUUUGCAGGAGAGAUAUGAGAACAUAAUGGAAUAUAUAAAAAGGCUUAGACUUUGCAUUAGGUGGUUUCAAGAACUCGAGAUGGAUUAUGCUUUUGAGGAAGAGAAGUUGAAGAAUGCAUUGGAAUUGAAUGAGAAGCAUUGUGCUGACAUGGAUGUGUUUCCAUAAUUAAAGUUUAGCUGUUACUUUUUUUUGUUUCAAAUUUUUUUGUGAUUUUUGAACUUUAUAUUUGUGCAAUUUUGAUGACAGAGGUUAGUUUGAGAAACAAAGAAGAGGAGCUGAAUAUGAUAACUGAAGAGCUGAGGAAAAACUUUGAAUCUGUUCAAGUGCAACUUGCCAGGG